ACUUCCGGCCGUGAUCUCAUGGUAACCGCGCUAACAAGUAGCUUUGAGUUUCUAAAUGUAAAGAUUGAAGUAAACAGACAUAAAACCAUGCUCGUCAGUCGACGCUGUUUGGACAGAAUAUUCUCGAUCGUUCUUCUGGCAGUGGUUCUGCUGUCCUGGGGCUUCGUGAUCUACGGCACACGAAUCGCUGCUCAAUGGGAACUGGAGAAGAGACAACAGAUCAAACAACAGCAGACAUGAAAGAUGAUUCUCAGUUCGUCUGAUGGACUUCAGUCGUUACAGACUCAUCUAACGUCCAGAAAACCUCAUGAAACAGCACAGAGAUCUUUUUGAGAAUAUCUUGUAUAUAAUGUGUGAUUUAUUUAUCUAUUUUUUCAUUUGUUUAAUUCAACGAUGUAAAUACUUAAAUUUUGUAAUGUAUUUAAAAAAAGGAUUUUCAUAAAUUUUUUUAUGUAAUGAUUAUUUUUCUUUAGAUCUGACUCUGUAUAAUUUGGUCAGACAUAAAGAAUUAUAUAUUAUUUAAUAAAAAAAUAUUUUUCCACUGGGAAAUCUUUUAAA